GUACCUUCUUCAGCGGCACAUAUACAAGAAUAUUGAAAUGUUACAGAGAACAUUAGCAUGGCUCCUAUGCCAGGAUAACAUGCAAAUUUGUGGUCUUAUACAUUUUU